GACGAAGGUGGCGAGCGUUGUUCGGUGUCACUGGGCUUAAAGGGUGUGUAGGCGGGAAAGUAUGCAUCUUGUGAAAUCCCCCGGCUUAACCGGGGAAUUGCUUGAUGAACUGCUUUUCUUGAGGCAAGUAGGGGUACAUGGAACUCUUGGUGGAGCGGUGGAAUGCGUAGAUAUCAAGAGGAACGCCGAUGGUGAAAACAGUGUACUGGGCUUGUCCUGACGCUGAAACACGAAAGCGUGGGGAGCGAACGGG
rnacentral:rRNA from 1 species